rnacentral:rRNA from 1 species
CAGCACCUCAAGUGGUCAGGAUGAUUAUUGGGCCUAAAGCAUCCGUAGCCGGCUCUGUAAGUUUUCGGUUAAAUCUGUACGCUCAACGUACAGGCUGCCGGGAAUACUGCAGAGCUAGGGAGCGGGAGAGGUAGACGGUACUCGGUAGGAAGGGGUAAAAUCCUUUGAUCUAUUGAUGACCACCUGUGGCGAAGGCGGUCUACCAGAACACGUCCGACGGUGAGGGAUGAAAGCUGGGGGAGCAAACCGGAUUAGAUACCCGAGUAGUCC